rnacentral:lncRNA from 1 species
AAUGAGGAUGUAAUUACUCUUUUGUUCUUUAUGAAGUAUGUAGUGGCUCCUCCAUUCUGAUGGUGAAAGCGAGUAAAAUAGUUCUUGAAUCAGUUUCACUUCACGUUGUAAAAAAUGGAUACUUGCCAAUCACUAUUUGAUUUGGUCAGAGGCGAUACGCACUGAUAUAUUUCUGUUGCUUACUCAUGUACUAUGAAGUACUACUAGCUUUGAUUUGCUAUGUUUCAAUGCUUGUAGUCUUUGUUCACGUUUUUUUUUCUUCUAUGAAGUAUGAGUGCAUA